CACAAGCAGGCAAAAACAGUUGGCUCGAUUCUACCCAUGGUGAAAGACAGAAUCAGCCAAGGGGAAAAGAGCAAUGUAGUGUACAGGAUAGACUGCGCAGACUGUGAUGCAUGUUAUAUUGGGAUGACAACAACAAAACUGAAGAGCAGGCUCUCUGGCCAUCGAUCAAACGUGAGGAAGCUGCAAAAGCUGAGAGAGGAGGGACACACAAACAGGGACGGAGCAAUAGCAGAAAUCAGAGAGAAGACAGCAUUAGUUAACCACGCAGCAGCAAUGGAACACUCGUUUAAGUUAGAUGAAGUAGUAAUAGUAGACAAGACACACAAAUCAACCAACCUCCAAUUCCUAGAGAGUUGUCACAUAUACAACACUGAGAAAACAGUAAACAAACGAUCGGACACAGAAAAUCUACACGCAACCUAUGCAGGAAUACUACACACAUUUAAGAAUGCUCAAAAUAGAACCAAAACAAAUCACACCAAUAGACCUAACACAAACAGACCAUAGACCAUAAUAUUAUUGACACACUUCCAAACUAGAUAAUUCAUCCAAAGUUGACCCUGCUAAAUUAGUGCUUUCCGUAAUGCUACCACCCCCAAAACAAAUUGUAAGUACACUUUAAAAAUAUUUCACACAAAUCACACCAUAAUCUUUGUAAAAUAUCCACAACAGACUCUAGCAAUAUUGACAUUUCAACGUUUAACAAAUCCGACUAGACAAAAAAACGAUACAAAUUGAGUCCCUGAAGAAGCUUCCAUACGAAGCGAAACGUUGGAUGAAAAUUUAA